rnacentral:rRNA from 1 species
CCUACGGGAGGCAGCAGUGAGGAAUAUUGGUCAAUGGACGAGAGUCUGAACCAGCCAAGUAGCGUGAAGGAUGACUGCCCUAUGGGUUGUAAACCUCUUUUAUAUGGGAAUAAAAUGUUCCACGUGUGGGAUUUUGUAUGUACCAUAUGAAUAAGGAUCGGCUAACUCCGUGCCAGCAGCCGCGGUAAUACGGAGGAUCCGAGCGUUAUCCGGAUUUAUUGGGUUUAACGGGAGCGUAGGUGGAUUGUUAAGUCAGUUGUGAAAGUUUGCGGCUCAACCGUAAAAUUGCAGUUGAAACUGGCAGUCUUGAGUACAGUAGAGGUGGGCGGAAUUCGUGGUGUAGCGGUGAAAUGCUUAGAUAUCACGAAGAACUCCGAUUGCGAAGGCAGUUCACUGGACUGCAACUGACACUGAGGCUCGAAAGUGUGGGUAUCAAACAGGAUUAGAUACCCCGGUAGUC